GACGAACCGUGCGAACGUUGUUCGGAAUCACUGGGCUUAAAGGGUGCGUAGGCGGGUUGUCCAGUCUGGGGUGAAAUCCCACGGCUCAACCGUGGAACUGCCUCAGAUACUGACGACCUCGAGGGAGGUAGGGGCGAGCGGAACUGUGGGUGGAGCGGUGAAAUGCGUUGAUAUCCACAGGAACUCCGGUGGCGAAGGCGGCUCGCUGGACCUCUUCUGACGAUGAGGUACGAAAGCUAGGGGAGCGAAUGGG
rnacentral:rRNA from 1 species